rnacentral:rRNA from 1 species
AUGGCGGCGAUGCCGAUGCCCCGGUCUCUCCUGCUGAUCCUCCUCCUGGCCACCCCCUUACUCAUCCUCCCCCUCGCCGCCGCCGCAGUCCCCACCUCCAACCCGGACAUCGACCUCGAGUACCUCAUCAAGAACGCCGGCCUCGACGACCCCACCCCUGCCACCACCGCCACCGACCCCGAGGACGACGGCGCUCCGGACUUCCCCGGCCUCGACGCCGACUACGACGACGAGGACCUCUUCGGCGACGACGACGGGCCGGAGGAGGACUCCUCCCACCCCUCGGCGGCCGACGAGGCCCACGUGCUCCUCCUCACCGCCGCCAACUUCACCUCCGUCCUCGCGGCCCGGCGCCACGUCAUGGUCGAGUUCUACGCGCCCUGGUGCGGCCACUGCCGCGCGCUCGCGCCCCACUACGCCGCCGCCGCCUCCGCCCUCGCCGAGCAGGGCGUCGACGUGGCGCUGGCCAAGGUGGACGCCACCGAGGACCACGACCUGGCGCAGGCGCACGGCGUGCAGGGCUAUCCCACCCUCCUCUUCUUCAUCGACGGCGUGCCCAGGGACUACGCCGGCGAGAGGACCAAGGACGCCAUCGUAGCUUGGAUCAGCAAGAAGCUGGGCCCUGCGGUGCAGAACCUCACCACCGCCGACGAGGCCGAGAAGAUCGUCACCGGCGACGACGUGGCCGUGCUCGCCUACCUCGACCACCUCUCGGGUGCUCACAGUGAUGAGCUUGCUGCUGCUUCAAGGCUGGAAGAUACCAUCAGCUUCUACCAGACCACCAGCCCUGAUGUAGCCAAGCUUUUCCACAUUGACCCGGAGGCAAAGCGCCCUUCAGUAGUCCUGCUGAAGAAAGAGGAGGAGAAGUUGACCGUUUUUGAUGGCGAGUUCAGAGCGUCUGCGAUUGCCGAGUUUGUGUCGGCAAACAAAAUCCCAUUGAUCACCACCCUCACACAGGAGACCGCCCCUGCGAUUUUCGAUAACCCGAUCAAGAAGCAAAUUUUGCUAUUUGCUGUUGCGAAGGAGUCCCCACAAUUUCUGCCCAUCAUUAAGGAAACAGCAAAGUCAUUCAAGGGAAAGCUUUUAUUUGUCUUUGUGGAGCGUGACAAUGAGGAAGUUGGCGAACCUGUUGCCAAUUACUUUGGAAUUGCUGGACAAGAGACCACGGUUCUUGCUUACACUGGGAAUGAAGACGCUAAGAAGUUCUUCUUCAGUGGUGAAAUAUCACUGGACACCAUUAAGGAAUUUGCUCAAGAUUUCCUGGAGGACAAGCUCACACCAUCCUACAAGUCUGACCCAGUACCUGAAUCUAAUGAUGAGGACGUCAAAGUUGUUGUUGGCAAGAGUCUAGAUCAAAUAGUUUUGGAUGAGUCAAAGGAUGUCCUUUUGGAGGUAUAUGCGCCAUGGUGUGGGCAUUGUCAGUCGCUGGAGCCUAUCUACAACAAGCUGGCCAAGUAUCUCCGUGGCAUCGACUCCCUUGUAAUAGCCAAAAUGGACGGCACAAACAAUGAGCAUCCUCGUGCCAAGCCCGAUGGAUUCCCCACGAUACUCUUCUAUCCAGCUGGGAAGAAAAGCUUUGAGCCUAUAACUUUCGAGGGGGACCGGACGGUGGUGGAGAUGUACAAGUUCCUCAAGAAGCAUGCCGCCAUCCCUUUCAAGCUGAAGCGCCCGGACUCGUCAGCGGCACGGACCGACGGCGCCGAUGGCUCGGGUUCGACGACCGAGGGCGAGAAGAGCUCCGGUUCAAACCCCAAGGACGAGUUGUAG